UUUAGAGGAAGGAGAAGUCGUAACAAGGUUUCCGUAGGUGAACCUGCGGAAGGAUCAUUGUCGAAACAUGCCCCGACAGAACGACCCGCGAACAUGUUACAAGCACACCGCGGGGCAGCUUGGCGCCUCGGCCCUUGCUGUCCCGCGAGGCGGUGUCGCGGCCGUGCGUGCGCGUUCGCGCGAGCCUACGGUCAGCGCCACCGCCACUAACAGAACCCCGGCGCGGACUGCGCCAAGGAACAAAAAACAAACGAGAGCGAUCGCCCUCCUCGCCCCGGGAACGGUGCGCGAUGGUGGGCGCCUCGCUGUCCAAUGAUAUAAACUAAACGACUCUCGGCAACGGAUAUCUCGGCUCUCGCAUCGAUGAAGAACGUAGCGAAAUGCGAUACUUGGUGUGAAUUGCAGAAUCCCGUGAAUCAUCGAGUCUUUGAACGCAAGUUGCGCCCGAAGCCUUUUGGCCGAGGGCACGUCUGCCUGGGUGUCACGCAACGUCGCCGCCAGCACACCCUUCCCUUAGGGGAUCGGGAUGUAGCUGGGGGCGGAUUUUGGCCUCCCGUGCGCCUCAGCGCGCGCGGUUGGCCUAAAUUUCAGCUCACGGCGAGGAUCGCCACGACAAGCGGUGGUUUUUUGAACUAAGGACCUCGGGUGUUGUCGUGCGGCCUCGCGGAGAGAAGGAACCCCCGUGCGCUAGCGCACACUCUUAACGAGACCCCAGGUCAGUCGGGAACACCCGCUGAA
rnacentral:rRNA from 1 species